UACAGAGGGCCCGAGCGUUGUUCGGAUUUAUUGGGCGUAAAGGGUGCGUAGGCGGCGGAGUAAGUUGGGUGUGAAAUCCCGGGGCUCAACCUCGGAAUGGCAUUCAAUACUGCUUCGCUAGAGUACUGGAGAGGAGGCUGGAAUUUACGGUGUAGCAGUGAAAUGCGUAGAUAUCGUAAGGAAGGCCGGUGGCGAAAGCGGCAUCCUGGACCGACAUUGACGCUGAACGACGAAAGCUAGGGGAGCAAACGGG
rnacentral:rRNA from 1 species